rnacentral:rRNA from 1 species
GCAAGUCGAACGAAGAAAGUACUUCGGUACGAGUAAGAGUGGCGCACGGGUGAGUAACGCGUGGAUAAUCUGCCCUGGAGUGGGGAACAACCUAUCGAAAGGUAGGCUAAUACCGCAUAAGACCACAGAAGCUGCGGCUUCAGUGGUCAAAGAUUUAUCGCUCCUGGAUGAGUCCGCGUAAGAUUAGCUUGUUGGUGAGGUAAUGGCUCACCAAGGCUACGAUCCAUAGCUGGUCUGAGAGGAUGAUC